AUAAAGAGAAUUAGAGUGUGAAUUGGGUUGGAGUGAGUUUCGGGGACGAAACUCUUAUUAAGGAGGGGAGGAUGUAAGGUAGCGGACUUCUAAAACUAUGAAGUUACGGUGUAUAUUUAAAUGGUUCCGGUGAGGUUGCGGUGGAAUGUAACAUACCGGAUUUUAAAUAUAAAAGUGAAAAUAAAUAAAAAUAGUAUGAGAUACUAUUUUUAUUGGAUUUAGAGAAGUGAAAUAUAAGUUGGGAAUGACCUGUGCUGAAAUCGGAGCGAAAAUAGUAGAUUUAGAAUUUUCUCUAAGAAACGGGGCAGAUAAAUUAGCAGAAAAUGCACAGUCUCAGAAAAUUAUGAAAAUUGGCGGAGAUGUCAGAAACAUUUUUAUGAGGCUCGAUUUAAAGUUUCAUGCCAUUCUGACACCCGGAAGGUGAAAAAUAGAAUCCGAAAGCUAUCUGAUAAAGAUUACUGUUCGGUACAGUUUUCGGUGACCAAACGGGGUCGAAACUGAAAUAUUAAAAUUUCUUUGGACUUAUUAAGUAAAACUGAGCCUGCCUGUCAAAUUUGAGCUCAAACGGACAUUCAGAAGGGCUCCGGCGAAAAAUAUCAAUUUCUAAACUGUCCGAAGUGAAUAGUGCAUAGUUGAGGGACUAAGUUGUAAAAUGGAUUUAAUCCCAUUUCUUCUUCUCCUUCCUCAGCCGCAGCAGCCCCAAACCGCACACACACAUACGCAUACACACACGCAUGGAAGGGAGAGAGAAAACUUCCAUUUCUCUCUCUAAAUCUCUCCCAAAAUUAAAGAAAUUGGUGGAGAUUGAAGCUUGUAGGUGAAUCGUCUUCAUCUUCUUUAUCUUCUCCAUUGUUUGGAGCUAAUUUUGAGGUGAGCUUCUUGAGCCCUCUCAUGGUAGGUCUCUAGAUAUGUGGUUUUGAUCUCUAGAAAUGGAUUUAGAGGAAUCCUAGCAUGCUAUCUAGAUGAUUGAUCCUUAAUUCGUGAAGGGAUUUGGUGAUUUCAUGCAUAGUUGUAAUCUAGGGUUCAAAAUGCAAUUUUUGGAAAUAGUUGGGUUUGAUCUCAAUUAACCCUCCGUAAACCUAAUUGCUAGGUAACGAAACGCGUUGGCGAAGACGGUUCGGCAAUCCGACGAGCCGUUACAAAGUUAUUAAAGAAACGGACGUUUAGGCUUCGUUUACGCCUGGAGGGCCGAGGCGACGUCGUAAAAUCGUGAAAACGGAUUUGAAGCACCGUGGCACAUAACCGAAGACCUUUAAUUUCCGGAUCGCAAAUCGGAGAUCGUUUGGCUAGUCGCGCGAGAGUUCGAGCCAAAAUUGGAGCAACAUGUUGGAUGCAAAAUUGUUGGGGCUGAUGAGAGAUGAGCAUACAUUUUGUAAUUGCGUAAAUGGGUCGUUCACUCCAACUGCUUGGAAGAGGAUGGUAAAUGUAAGGUACCGGACUUCUAAAACUAUGAAGUUACGGUGUACAUUUAAAUGGUUCCGGUGAGGUUGCGGUGGAAUGUAACAUACUGGAUUUUAAAUAUAAAAGUAAAAAUAAAUAAAAAUAGUAUGAGAUACUAUUUUUAUUGGAUUUAGAGAAGUGAAAUAUAAGUUGGGAAUGACCUGUGCUGAAAUCGGAGCGAAAAUAGAAGAUUUAGAAUUUUCGAUCAAACCCAACUAUUUCCAAAAAUUGCAUUUUGAACCCUAGGUUACAACUAUGCAAGAAAUCACCAAAUCCCUUCACGAAUUAAGCAUCAAUCAUCUAGAUAGCAUGCUAGGAUUCCUCUAAAUCCAUUUCUAGAGAUCAAAACCACAUAUCUAGAGACCUACCAUGAGAGGGCUCAAGAAGCUCACCUCAAAAUUAGCUCCAAACAAUGGAGAAGAUAAAGAAGAUGAAGACGAUUCA
rnacentral:lncRNA from 1 species